GAUGAACGCUAGCUACAGGCUUAACACAUGCAAGUCGAGCGGAAACGGCAUCGAAAGGUUGCUUUUGUUGGGCGUCGACCGGCGCACGGGUGAGUAACGCGUAUCCACCCUGCCCAUCACUUGGGAAUAACCUUGCGAAACUAAGACUAAGGCCCAAUUACAUCCCACGAAUUCAUCCGAAUGGGAGUAUAUAGUUGUCGGUGAUGGAUGGGGAUGCGUCGGAUUAGCUUGUUGGUGGGGUGACGGCCCACCAAGGCAACGAUCAGUAGGGGAUCUGAGAGGAAGGUCCCCCACAUUGGAACUGAGACACGGUGCACAAGGCUAGGGCAGGACGCAGACAGGAAUCUUGGGGGAGGAAUGUGGGCCUAAGCCCGCCAAGUAGGUUGCGCAAUGACGGGCGCAUGAGUUGUACACUGCUUUUGUAAAGCAAUUACGUGAGUGACGAGUGACUUUUUGAAGGUACCUUAUGAAUAAGCACCGGCUAAUUCCGUG
rnacentral:rRNA from 1 species